rnacentral:lncRNA from 1 species
AUGUCUGGCUCGUUUAUCGUCUUUAUGUGGUGCAAGCAGUGCUGCUAGUGCUAGAAUCCGAAGCUGGAAUUUAGCUUUGGAGUUAUUUUGAGCUAAUUUGGACUGGGCCGGCCGAGUAAAUUGAGAUUGCUGUCAAGAUUUUUCAGCUACAUGUGUUUCUUUUGUACAUGUUUGUUCAGUAAUCUGCCUUGUUUUCAGAUGGGAUUGCGUCUCUAUGGAGCUUUAUCUUCUGUUGCAAAGUGCAGGUACAAGGGUUAUCUAAUACUGAUGUGAACUCAUUUUCCAGGUAUUGAAAGCAAAGACCCUACCUACCAGGAUUUUGAAGGUUGACCAGCAAAAGACACAUCAUAAUUGUUGUUCUUUGAGGAGCAGAUCGGCAUUGGCAUUGCAUCAGGAAUCAGAGUGGAUUGUGAACGAGGUGCAUCGGCCUGGAUAAACGGCUCGGCGAGGACCCCCUUGGCAGGCAGGCAGACAGACCAUCAUAACAAGACAAGCAGACUACAGCUGAUUACAAGUUUCACCCUAGGGUAAGAAUGAAUUCAUUGACGGAUUCCAUAAAAAAAAGGGCAGGGGUUGGUGUGUGGAGAAUCUUCCUUUCUGAUGAGCAAAUGUUUAAGUUGACUUUAAUCUCCACAACCUUAUAGGGAUGUUCCACGCUGAAAAUAAUAUGAUUUAAACAGAUUUAAAAAAAUAAGACAAUCAAAACACUGAAAAUUUGAUAAAAUUCGGACA